UACAGAGGUCUCAAGCGUUUGUUCGGAUUCAUUGGGCGUAAAGGGUGCGUAGGCGGCUUGUCGCGUCGGAUGUGAAAGCCCGGGGCUUAACUCCGGGUCUGCAUUCGAUACGGGCAGGCUAGAGUUCGGUAGGGGAGAUCGGAAUUCCUGGUGUAGCGGUGAAAUGCGCAGAUAUCGGGAGGAACACCCGUAGCGAAGGCGGACACUCUGGCCGUGACUGACGCUGAGGAGCGAAAGCGUGGGGAGCAACAGGG
rnacentral:rRNA from 1 species